rnacentral:rRNA from 1 species
AUGAACGCUGGCGGCGUGCCUAAUACAUGCAAGUCGCGCGAACGGACGAGAAGCUUGCUUCUCUGAUGUUAGCGGCGGACGGGUGAGUAACACGUGGAUAACCUACCUAUAAGACUGGGAUAACUUCGGGAAACCGGAGCUAAUACCGGAUGAUAUUUUGAACCGCAUGGUUCAAAAGUGAAAGACGGUCUUGCUGUCACUUAUAGAUGGAUCCGCGCUGCAUUAGCUAGUUGGUAAGGUAACGGCUUACCAAGGCAACGAUGCAUAGCCGACCUGAGAGGGUGAUCGGCCACACUGGAACUGAGACACGGUCCAGACUCCUACGGGAGGCAGCAGUAGGGAAUCUUCCGCAAUGGGCGAAAGCCUGACGGAGCAACGCCGCGUGAGUGAUGAAGGUCUUCGGAUCGUAAAACUCUGUUAUUAGGGAAGAACAUAUGUGUAAGUAACUGUGCACAUCUUGACGGUACCUAAUCAGAAAGCCACGGCUAACUACG